UACAGAGGUGGCAAGCGUUGUUCGGAAUUACUGGGCGUAAAGGGCGCGUAGGCGGCUUGUCAAGUCACUUGUGAAAUCUCUGGGCUUAACCCAGAACGGCCAAGUGAAACUGUCAUGCUAGAGUGCAGAAGGGGCAAUCGGAAUUCUUGGUGUAGCGGUGAAAUGCGUAGAUAUCAAGAGGAACACCUGAGGUGAAGACGGGUUGCUGGGCUGACACUGACGCUGAGGCGCGAAAGCCAGGGGAGCAAACGGG
rnacentral:rRNA from 1 species